rnacentral:lncRNA from 1 species
GCCUUCUUCUUCCAAGUUCCUUUUCUGGUCGUGUGGCCCUAACCAUGUCCCUUCCCCUCUGCCGCGUCAGUUGCCCCAUCUGGCUAAUGGGUGCGAUAAAUGAAGUGGUGGCUGGCGCUGACUGUCAUGCAUUCUGGGGCCCCCCCGUGCCGUCACAAAGGCCCCAAGGAGGGAGAAGGCCAGCCGUUACCAGGCUUCCCGGCGGACAGCGUGAGGCAGAAGGGGGAAACAUCUAGUCUUUUGCCAUUGAAGGCCUUAAUAGAAUCCAACCGACCUCCCCUCAAGGCGAGGAGAAUUCUGCCAGCAGACUGCCUUCGGACUCAACCUGCCACAUCAGCUCUUCCCUGGGUCUGCAGCCUGCUAGGCUCCCCUGCAGAUUUUGGACUGGCC